UACGUAGGCAGCAAGCGUUGUUCGGAAUUACUGGGCGUAAAGAGCGUGUAGGCGGUGCUCCAAGUCUGGUGUGAAAUCUCCCGGCUUAACUGGGAGGGUGCAUUAGAAACUGGAAUGCUAGAGGAUGGGAGAGGUAAGCGGAAUUCCUGGUGUAGCGGUGAAAUGCGUAGAUAUCAGGAGGAACACCUGUGGUGAAGGCAGCUUACUGGGCCAUUUCUGACGCUGAGACACGAAAGCGUGGGUAGCAAACAGG
rnacentral:rRNA from 1 species